UACAGAGACUGCAAGCGUUAUUCGGAUUCACUGGGCGUAAAGGGUGCGCAGGCGGUUAUGUGUGUGAAGUGUGAAAGCCCGAGGCUUAACCUCGGAAUUGCACCUCAAACUACAUAGCUAGAGUACUGGAGAGAGUAGCAGAAUUCACGGUGUAGCAGUGAAAUGCGUAGAUAUCGUGAGGAAUACCAGCGGCGAAGGCGGCUACUUGGACAGGUGCUGACGCUCAGGCACGAAAGCGUGGGGAGCAAAAGGG
rnacentral:rRNA from 1 species